GACUACACACAGCUCUGCACCAUCUGUGCAGCGAUUUCCUCAGGGAGGGAUGCUCAGUCUACCUGCUUUUCUUGAAAUGGGCCCAAUGUCAAAGUCUCUCCUUACUUUCCACCUACAGAAUCAGUGCGGUAGUAAGCUCCUGCUAAUGACGGGACAUAUCCCUCAAGUGUAUGGAAGCAGAAAAAAACCUGACCAUUACUGAUCAAGUGGCCAGAGAGAAAAACCACUCUUGCACUGAGUGAUGAAGGAAAAGUGGGGACAAUCGCUGCACAGCACUGGCUCUUGCUGAACCUCCCAUGGGCGGUGCCAAUAGCCCAUGGGAUUACAGAGACUGAGGCAGUGGUCUAUAUUUUUCCUCCAUGAUUCUAUGGAGUAGAAGUGGGGUGAUUGUUUUGUUCUUGACCCCUCUUAAAAAAAUUGAACAUCCUUUCCA